rnacentral:rRNA from 1 species
AUUCCAGCUCCAAUAACGUAUAUUAAAGUUGUUGUGGUUAAAAAGCUCGUAGUUGCAUUUCUGCCGAGGACGACCAGUCCGCCCUCUGGGUGAGCAUCUGGCUCGGCCUGGGCAUCCUCUUGGAGAACGUAGCUGCACUUGAGUGUGUGGGGCGGUAUCCAAGACUUUUACCUUGAGGCAACUAGAGUGCUUCAGGCAGGCAUACGCCUUGAAUACAUCAGCACAGAACAAUAAGAUAGGACCUCGGUUCUAUUUUGUUGGUCUCUAGAGCUGAGGUAAUGAUUAAUAGAGAUAGUUGGGGGCAUUCGUAUUUGACUGUCAGAGGUGAAAUUCUUGGAUUUGUUAAAGACGGACUGCUGCGAAAGCAUUUGUAUAGGAUGUUUUCAUCG